GCCAUGUGGUGUUUUGUAUAAAUUGUAAACCUCCCACUUCCCUGCAGUUUUGGUCGAAAAUACCAUUCGUGAGUUGAACAACAAUAAAAAAGUGCAUAUCGUAUUGUUAGAUAUCUCGAAAGCCUUCGACCGUGUUUGACACGAAGGCCUUCUGCACAAACUGAACGCGUUCGACCUGCCUCGGGGCCUGAUCCGGUGAAUCGGGUCUUUUCCACAAACCAAGUAGUUUGUGGUCUUUCCUGAAAGACAACCCGAGAAUACCUACCACAGAGAAGCGACAUUAACGUCGGAUCCUUUGAUGUCGGUGUCCCAACUCCGAACCGAAGAUUUUGAGUGAUAAACAUCCUGGUUCACUGAGAAAUAUGACCUCUCAGCGAUAUACACUAAUAAAAAUAGUGACUUGUUAUUUUAUGUAAUCCUAACUUAAACUUUCAUUAACAUCAAUACAAUCUGAGGGUUCUAAUUAAGUAUGGAUUCCAAAGUAUUAAAAAUCCCUUGUAUCGAUAGUGAAGAUUCUGAUUUAUCUGAUGAGGAUGAUAAACCCCUUUUAGGUGUUGAAUUACCUGUGGAUAGUAAUUUUGGAGAAACUCCCUUAGACGAUGAUGUUGCCAGUAUCAUGAAUCGAGAAUUUGAUUCUUCAGAUGAUAAUAUACCCUUAUCAACAAUACAAAAACGACUUGAAAAAAAGUAUACAAUUGGGUAGAAGGAAAUCUCAAAAAAUCUGAAGAAGAGAUAAAAUUUACUGGUUCCCAGGAUUUGCCUUUUUCUAUAUCAGAGUUAGAAACUCCUAUCCAAUUCUUCAAGUUUCAUUUCCCAGAUAGCCUUAUAAAGUAUAUCUGUGAACAGACUAACCUUUAUUCUGUACAGUGCCGUCCAAAUAAUCCUGCUAAUAUAAAAGAGUUCAAAAUAGAGCAA